UACGUAGGCAGCGAGCGUUGUUCGGAGUUACUGGGCGUAAAGCGUGCGUAGGCGGUUGUCUAAGUUUGGUGUGAAAUCUCCUGGCUUAACUGGGAGGGUGCGCCGAAAACUGGGUGACUGGAGUGUCGGAGAGGUAAGCGGAAUUCCUGGUGUAGCGGUGAAAUGCGUAGAGAUCAGGAGGAACACCUGUGGUGUAGACAGCUUACUGGACGAUAACUGACGCUGAGGCACGAAAGCGUGGGUAGCAAACAGGA
rnacentral:rRNA from 1 species